rnacentral:rRNA from 1 species
GACGAACGCUGGCGGCGUGCCUAAUACAUGCAAGUCGAGCGAAGUUUUUCUGGUGCUUGCACUAGAAAAACUUAGCGGCGAACGGGUGGGUAACACGUAAAGAACCUGCCUCAUAGACUGGGACAACUAUUGGAAACGAUAGCUAAUACCGGAUAACAGUAUUUCUCGCAUGAGAGAUAUUUAAAAGUUGGUUAUGCUAACACUAUGAGAUGGCUUUGCGGUGCAUUAGCUAGUUGGUGGGGUAAAGGCCCACCAAGGCGACGAUGCAUAGCCGACCUGAGAGGGUGAUCGGCCACACUGGGACUGAGACACGGCCCAGACUCCUACGGGAGGCAGCAGUAGGGAAUCUUCCGCAAUGGGCGAAAGCCUGACGGAGCAACGCCGCGUGAGUGAAGAAGGAUUUCGGUUCGUAAAGCUCUGUUGUUAGGGAAGAAUGGAUAUGUAGUAACUAUACAUGUAAGAGACGGUACCUAACCAGAAAGCCACGGCUAACUACGUG